GUGUCAGCAGCCGCGGUAAUACGUAGGGUGCGAGCGUUAAUCGGAAUUACUGGGCGUAAAGCGUGCGCAGGCGGCCUGAUAAGUCAGAUGUGAAAUCCCCGAGCUCAACUUGGGAACUGCGUUUGAAACUAUCAAGCUAGAAUAUGUCAGAGGGGGGUAGAAUUCCACGUGUAGCAGUGAAAUGCGUAGAGAUGUGGAGGAAUACCAAUGGCGAAGGCAGCCCCCUGGGAUAAUAUUGACGCUCAUGCACGAAAGCGUGGGGAGCAAACAGGAUUAGAUACCCUAGUAGUCC
rnacentral:rRNA from 1 species